GUCUAGAGGCUUCGGCAAUGGACGCAAGUCUGACCGAGCGACGCCGCGUGUGGGAUGAAGGUCUUCGGAUUGUAAACCACUGUCAGUCGGGACGAAUGCCCGAAUGGUGAAUUCGGGAGCGACGGUACCGGCAGAGGAAGCCACGGCUAACUCCGUGCCAGCAGCCGCGGUAAUACGGAGGUGGCAAGCGUUGUUCGGAAUUACUGGGCGUAAAGGGCGCGUAGGCGGAAGAGUCCGUCCGAUGUAAAAGUGCUACCGCUCAACGGAGCAAAGUCAUCGGAUACCGCUUUUCUGGAGUCCGGGAGAGGUGAGCGGAAUUGCUGGUGUAGCGGUGGAAUGUACAGAUAUCAGCAAGAACACCUGUGGCGAAGGCGGCUCACUGGCCCGCGACUGACGCUGAGUGCGCAAAAGCGUGGGGAGCAAACGGGAUUAGAUACCCUUGUAGUCC
rnacentral:rRNA from 1 species